UGGGGAAUAUUGGACAAUGGGCGAAAGCCUGAUCCAGCCCUGCCGCGUGUGUGAAGAAGGUCUUCGGAUUGUAAAGCACUUUAAGUUGGGAGGAAGGGCAGUAAGCGAAUACCUUGCUGUUUUGACGUUACCGACAGAAUAAGCACCGGCUAACUCUGUGCCAGCAGCCGCGGUAAUACAGAGGGUGCAAGCGUUAAUCGGAAUUACUGGGCGUAAAGCGCGCGUCGGUGGUUCGUUAAGUUGAAUGUGAAAGCCCCGGGAUCAACCUGGGAACUGCAUCCAAAACUGGCGAGCUAGAGUAGGGCAGAGGGUGGUGGAAUUUCCUGUGUAGCGGUGAAAUGCGUAGAUAUAGGAAGGAACACCAGUGGCGAAGGCGACCACCUGGGCUCAUACUGACACUGAGGUGCGAAAGCGUGGGGAGCAAACAGG
rnacentral:rRNA from 1 species